rfam:Gasterosteus aculeatus cont1.007246, whole genome shotgun sequence.
ACAAAUUUGUAAUGUAAAUCGCUUUGGAUAAAAGCGUCUGCUAAAUGACAUCUA